rnacentral:lncRNA from 1 species
AUGAACUGUCUCAGUCUGGAGCCAGGCAGAGCAACUCGGGCCAACGGAGGAGUCCACAUUCCAUCCUGGGGCCCUCUCCUCUGCACGCUGCACCUGUAUUUGCAGCCAGGCACUCCUCUUCCACCUCCCGUUUUGCAUUUUCCUGACACAAGGUUCUCAAUUGGAACUAAAGCAUCACCAAAUCUUAGCUCAUUUGGCUUGACGAACCACCCAGUUCUUGCCAGCAUUCCUCUCCAAGAGCAAGACACACUUCUCCCCGCAGCUGCUAGCUACAAACAAAAACCACCAUGCCGCUGCCACCUGCCAAUCCUGGCAUUGCCCGCUACUGUCCUCACCCAAGUGGAGCCCAUGUGCAUGAAUCAACCCAGAUCAGGUCAAGGAUGUCAGGGGUUUUCAACUUCACAGUUCAUAUCGUAAACUUUCAGUCUUCAGAAAUGAGACCUAGAGCCAGGAGGGGGCUCCCACUCUUGCUACACCCAUCCUCUGAUGAUGACGUCUCCCAAAGAGCUGCCUGUCAGUUUUGUAUGCUUUGAGGCCCUUGAAUUAUGAAUGGGCUCCUUAAAGGAAAAAGAUACCACUGGCAUUAUGAGUGUUUGCCAAUUCCAUGUAGACUUUUAGGGUCUCAGUGGAAAGGAACUACUAUUAAGAAAUCCUUCAUGCUAAUCCUUUGCCUAAUUCUUGCCUAACGAAGUCAUGCGAGCAUACCUCUUACUUGUGACCAGUUAGAGGAACUCACUGCUCUCUAGCGUAGGUCACAGGGCCCUGACUAUAUCUCUACUGGCUCAUCAGUGUGACAAGGCUAAGUCUUAGCCCAGCUUCACAGCCCCUUAGGGCUAGAUCCAGCCCUUCUCUGAGCUUUGCCACUGGCCAGAUACCAUAAUCGUAGUGUUCCUGUUACUAAGAAUAUCCUUACUUGGCCAGGACGGAGACCAGCCACGUAUGGGAAAAACUGAGAACAAGUUACUGACCUAAAUUCCUACAUUUGAUGUUUGUCUCACUAAUUUAUACCGAGCACCUUCUGCAAAGUGACCUCUAGAUCUCAAAUUAGAAAACCCUGAGGUAAGGCAGAGAGGUCACCUGACCAUAGCUCAGAUCAGACACAAGAGGAGAUGUGACUCAAAUAACUCUGGGAAGAAGGACCAGAAGCCCCACUCAUGACUCAAGUAGAAGAAAACCAUCAUGGGAAACAAGCAUAGGGACCCUUCCCAUGAAAAUGGUUAAAUUCACACACGCAAAAUUGUAUCUACCAUUUGAAGGCCUCAAAGAUACUUAAAACUCAAGCAUGGAUCCCAGGUGAACAACUGUUCAAAUAAAGUCCAGGGGAGAUAGUUACUCCA